rnacentral:lncRNA from 1 species
GAUGGAGAAUAUAUUGGUCAUCGGUUUCGCAUGUCACGAAGUGUCCAUCUCUUUGGCACUUGGAUUCUCCCUUUCUCACACCGUGAAAAGAUACUCUUCUUCAUCCCAUCAUUUCAAACAUCACAAAUUCGAUUCUCCCAUUAUCUUUAGCGUUUCUAUGUUACCACAAAGUCUCUCUAUAUAUCCCUUCAUUUCGAAGAAACGAAGAUGCUUUUGUAGGUAUUGUGUUUCUUCUUCUUUCUGCUAUUCCCUGAUCGAAUACUCUUCACCUAGAGUGUCAUAUCUUGCCAACUCUGUGUUACCUCUCUUUGAAGUUUUAAUAUUCUAAACCAUACUCUUGGUACACCAUAAAACUUUUAAAUGAGUUUUAAAAAGGUCUCCAUUUUGAGGAAUCCAAAGAUGUGUCUUAACAUGCCACAUCUUUUAAUUUAUUGAAAUAGUGCUCAGUUCCAUCCCUAAAUCACACUAUUUAGUGGGUCUACGAUUUAGUGACAUUCAUGUCACAAUACAAUUUUCUCAACAGAUAAUCAGGUUGCGCACCUCUCAAUAAAAAAUAUGUUUUACUCAAUCCUCAAAGAAUUUCAUCUUGAAAUCUUUUAUGUUAAAAAAUAGAUUCAAAACCAAAGCAUAACAUUAUAUUGUGAAUCCCAAAUAAUACCUUUCUUUAGAGAAGUAAAUAAGUGACAUUCUCGUUACAAAAUAAAUCAUACUGCAGAAUUCCAAGAUGAACACUAUUUAAUAAAAUUUUCUUCUCUCCACCCACAAGGAAUUUCCUUUUCAAACCCAUUUUGUUUGAAAGUAGACACAGGAUGGUAAUACAUAUGUUUCCACAAGCUUCAUAUCACUUUGUUAAGUAGGCUUGAUAAAUGUAGCUAUUCAUGUCUCAAUAAAGUAAACAACAAAUUGCAGAAAAUUCAGGAUGACCUUUCUUCAAUUCAAAAUUUUUAUUUCUCUUUUCUCAUAAAUAUUUAUCUCUCAAAUAAAUUUUAUUAGAAACUAGACUCAAAAUGGAAGUCUAGAAACUUGGUGUGGGCCUUAAAACAUUAUGUAAAGAAUGAAAAUAAACUCAUGACUUUCAAGUCAUUGAGACAAUUUUCGUUGCAGAAAACAACACUUGCGCACCCUUCAAUAAAAUGAUCAUAUCUUUCAAACCACAAAGGAUUUCUUCAUAAAACCAUUUUUGUAAAUUUCAGCUAAAAAUAAAUCAUAUGCUUGGCGGAUAAAUUCAUGGAACUCAAUGGAUAGUUCCUGGAUUUUACAGGGUCAGAACUGACACCCUUUAUUGAUGAGUUCAUAACUCUCAAUUCCCUUAGGAUCUCCCAUUGAAAUUUUGCAGAUAAUCCUACUUUAAAAAACACAUAAUAUCAUUGAAGUAUGCAAUACAAAAAUGACUCAUUAUGUUCUUCAUAUCACUUCUCCAAAAUAGCGCAGAAUACCCAUUAUGCAGGGUGCUUUUUUCGGCGUUUGAAUAUUCCAAGAAUUCCUAACUGGAGGUGUAUUACUUGACCACAAAGGUCAUUAGCUUUCUUAUAUUUCUUUUCCAAGCUAGAUCUAGACUCAAAUCAAGAGAAAAGACCACUAAUGACAACAAAUAUCAAUAACUCUGAUACCAAUGAAAGAAAGGCUCAUGUGAUCUAGCCGGAGUAUAUAAUAAAUUUUUUUCUUUCUUCUUCAAUUCUUUUUCUUUUCUUCACAACCUAGAUCACUCAUAAGUAGUCCUUUUACAAUAUAAUAAUUUCAAAUAAAAUAAAAGAAAAGAAUAUAAUAGCAUCUCAAGAAUUUGAAGCCAUUCAAAACGACACUUCUCAUUAACAAAGAAAAGACAUGACCUAUGCUUGGUAAUAAAAGAUAUAACAAAUAAAUAUGGAAGAAACAAAAGAUGGUGUCGAAGAUUACCUCAACUAGGCUUCUUACACCUCAUACUGAGUCACCACCUUCCGAUAGUGCGGGAUUUAAUGGUUAACCUUCCAUCUCAACCAGGAAAGCAAGUUUGGACAAGCCACACCAAUGGAACAUGAACCCCGUUGAUCAUAAAUUCAAACCCUAGGUGAAUUCCCUUAGUAACUUAGUUUGAGAGAGAUGCUUCUCUUUUCUACCACAACCCUGUAGUCUAAAACCCCAAUGAGAGAUGAGAGAUCAUGAGAGAAGAUGAGAGAUCAUGAGAGAAGAUGAGAGACACGAUUAGAGAGUAGAGAGAACCACCAUGAGAUGAGAGAGAGAGUGGGGCGUGCCCCCCUUGGCCCUUUCA